CGCCCGCCGCGCGCGGCGGGCGGGGCGGGGGCACGGGGGGCCUACGGGAGGCAGCAGUGGGGAAUUUUGGACAAUGGGGGAAACCCUGAUCCAGCCAUCCCGCGUGUAUGAUGAAGGCCUUCGGGUUGUAAAGUACUUUUGGCAGAGAAGAAAAGGUAUCCCCUAAUACGGGAUACUGCUGACGGUAUCUGCAGAAUAAGCACCGGCUAACUACGUGCCAGCAGCCGCGGUAAU
rnacentral:rRNA from 1 species